GUAGGGUGCAAGCGUUAAUCGGAAUAACUGGGCGUAAAGGGUGAGUAGGCUGAUAUACAAGUUAGAUGAGAAAUACCAGAGCUUAACUUUGGGAGNUCGUGUAAUACUGUAUGUCUAGAGUUAGNGAGAGGAUGGGGGAAUUCCGAGUGUAGCAGURAAAUGYGUAGAGAUU
rnacentral:rRNA from 1 species